rnacentral:rRNA from 1 species
CCUACGGGGGGCAGCAGUGGGGAAUAUUGGACAAUGGGCGAAAGCCUGAUCCAGCCAUGCCGCGUGUGUGAAGAAGGCCUUCGGGUUGUAAAGCACUUUCAGUGGGGAAGAAAGCCUUGGGGCUAAUACCCUCGAGGAAGGACAUCACCCACAGAAGAAGCACCGGCUAACUCCGUGCCAGCAGCCGCGGUAAUACGGAGGGUGCGAGCGUUAAUCGGAAUUACUGGGCGUAAAGCGCGCGUAGGCGGUCUGAUAAGCCGGUUGUGAAAGCCCCGGGCUCAACCUGAGAACGGCAUCCGGAACUGUCAGGCUAGAGUGCAGGAGAGGAAGGUAGAAUUCCCGGUGUAGCGGUGAAAUGCGUAGAGAUCGGGAGGAAUACCAGUGGCGAAGGCGGCCUUCUGGACUGACACUGACGCUGAGGUGCGAAAGCGUGGGUAGCAAACAGGAUUAGAUACCCCAGUAGUC